rnacentral:lncRNA from 1 species
GAGGGCGGGCGGGCGGUCCCCCACGACCAGGACCCGAACCCAGCACCACACCGGAGAACGGGAGAAGUCGGAGCCAGGCAUCUCCUCUUCCCACUGGCCCGUCCGGCAAACCCAGGGGGCGGCCGUCCCAAGACCCCCCCACCCAGACCCGCCCUUCCCGUCUCGGGGGCACGGGAAGCAGGAAAGACGGGAAAGGGACCCGACGGGUGCCCCGGGGCCGCGGCACGAGGCACGCGACCCGGCGGCGCCGCCCUCGGCGCCCGAGACCCAGGGGCGCGCGCAAACACUGGACCGAAACCGACGCCCCGCUGGAGUCUCUUCCGGAGAGGGGCUAAGGCAGGGUUGCAGGGGGGCCGCGGCUCUCCCUCGCUCGCGUUAGAGCCUGGUUUCCCUCCGGGCGGCUCCCGCACCCUCACGUGGCGCAGGGCAGGGGGAAGCGGAG